CAGCCAUAUCACGUAGAAACACCGGUUGUCAUAUGGUCACCAGAGUUAAGAAACGUCGAGCUUGUUCAGUACUUAGAUGGGUGACCGCUUGGGAAUACCAACUGCUGUAAG